rnacentral:lncRNA from 1 species
AUGGACGACCCCUCCAGAGGGGUCCUUAGUGGAGGUAAGGUGAUGAGCAGGGGGCCGUCAGGGGGAGACCCAGCUGCAGGAGAGACCGUCAGGGGGAGACCCAGCUGCAGGAGAGACCGUCAGGGGGAGACCCAGCUGCAGGAGAGACCGUCAGGGGGAGACCGAGCUGCAGGAGAGACCGUCAGGGGGAGACCCAGCUGCAGGAGAGACCGUCAGGGGGAGACCCAGCUGCAGGAGAGACCGUCAGGGGGAGACCCAGCUGCAGGAGAGACCGUCAGGGGGAGACCCAGCUGCAGGAGAGACCGUCGGGGGGAGACCCAGCUGCAGGAGAGACCGUCAGGGGGAGACCCAGCUGCAGGAGAGACCGUCAGGGGGAGACCCAGCCGCAGGAGAGACCGUCAGGGGGAGACCCAGCCGCAGGAGAGACCAUCAGGGGGAGACCCAGCCGCAGGAGAGACCGUAAGGGGGAGACCCAGCCACAGGAGAGACCGUCAGGGGGAGAUAGAGCUGCAGGAGAGACCGUCAGGGGGAGACCCAGCUGCAGGAGAGACCGUCAGGGGGAGACCCAGCUGCAGGAGAGACCGUCAGGGGGAGACCCAGCUGCAGGAGAGACCGUCAGGGGGAGACCCAGCUGCAGGAGAGACCGUCAGGGGGAGACCGAGCUGCAGGAGAGACCGUCAGGGGGAGACCCAGCUGCAGGAGAGACCGUCAGGGGGAGACCCAGCUGCAGGAGAGACCGUCAGGGGGAGACCCAGCUGCAGGAGAGACCGUCAGGGGGAGACCCAGCUGCAGGAGAGACCGUCGGGGGGAGACCCAGCUGCAGGAGAGACCGUCAGGGGGAGACCCAGCUGCAGGAGAGACCGUCAGGGGGAGACCCAGCCGCAGGAGAGACCGUCAGGGGGAGACCCAGCCGCAGGAGAGACCAUCAGGGGGAGACCCAGCCGCAGGAGAGACCGUAAGGGGGAGACCCAGCCACAGGAGAGACCGUCAGGGGGAGAUAGAGCUGCAGGAGAGACCGUCAGGGGGAGACCCAGCUGCAGGAGAGACCGUCAGGGGGAUGAGUUUCCGCGAGUGAGGAGCAGGCAGGCGGUGAUGUACACAGCAUCAGCGUCAGGAGGAGAGACCCGGGAGAGGAACCAUCACAGGCUCAUAACACUGGUUGUGUGUCUGUUUGUGUGUGUGUGUGCGCGUGUAUAUGUGUGUUUCUGCGUGCGUGUGUAUGUGUGCCUGUUUUUGUGUCUGUGUGUUUGUGUGUGUGAGCAGGUGGUUGAGCGUCCUCUAUCUCCACCAUGGCCUAUGUUCUGCUGGUCCAUUCGCUCCAUUCAACCCUCACUGCUCGCUGAGCCUGGCCUGGCUCGGCCCGCCUACGCACUUCCGCUCAAUUUUCAUUUGCGUUCGGUACUACGUCUAGGUUUGUGGUACAUUCGCAGGUUUUCUCCGGCCAAAUUCCCCCGCCCCAAUCAGCGAACACAGGGAGGGGCUGAGAACAAUGACGUUGAGGUCGUGCGCUAG